AACGCCGCGUUUCUGCAGCGAGAGCUUUAUUUGUUAGAAGUUGCUAGUACAAGCUGUUGUGUAGUAUUGAGAAAGUAGAUUUGUUGGCUGUAGCCACAUGUUGAUUAGACUUUCGUUUUAUGAUAACUGUUUUCAGUAGUUAUAAUCAGCUGUUAAAGGAAAGUUCUGUCGCAAUCUAUACAUCUGAAUAACAAGCCAACGAAAUCAACAGUGUUGACGUGCAUGUAUCAGCAAUGAGGAUACAAACGCCCCCAAUGCUGGCGACGUCGAGCCUCGAUCGGAUAUCCUCUGAUGUAUUAGUUCACACCAAUGCCGCAGCGACACCAAAACGUGUGACUGGUAUAUAGUUUAAAUUCCUUUUAUUUCAACAAGAGUUUACUUGUAUGCCACUUAUAAUAAAUUAGCAAUGUUUGACACACAGA